rnacentral:rRNA from 1 species
GAUGAAUGCUGGCGGCGUGCCUAAUACAUGCAAGUCGAACGGGUUUAGACCCGUGGCGAACGGGUGAGGAACGCGUAGGUAGCUGCUCCUAAGUCGGGGAUAACCAGCCGAAAGGUUGGCUAACACCCGAUAGUCGCGCAAGGGUAAAAAUUUAUUGCUUCGGAAGGCGCCUGCGUCCUAUCAGCUAGUUGGUGAGGUAAUGGCUCACCAAGGCGAUGACGGGUAGCUGGGCUGAGAGGAUGAUCAGCCACAGUGGAACUGAGACACGGUCCACAAUCUUACGGGAGGCAGCAGUAGGGAAUUGUCGGAAAUGGGCGAAAGCCUGACCGCGCGCCGCCGCGUGGAGGAAGAAGGCCUUCGGGUUGUAAAGCUCUUUUACCCGGGAUGAUAAUGACAGUACCGGGAGAAUAAGCCCCGGCUAACUCCGUGCCAGCCGCCGCCGUAA